GGAUCAAUGGGAUGGGAUGGGAUGGGAUGGAUGGGAUCAAUGGGAUGGGAUCCUGGGAUCAAUGGGAUGGGGAUGGAUGGCAUCUGUGGGAUGGGGAUGGAUGGGAUCAAUGGGAUGGGAUCAAUGGGAUGGGAUGGGAUCAGUGGGAUGGGAAGGAUGGAAUGGGAUCAAUGUGAUGGGGUGGACGGGAUGGGGUGGGAUGGGAUAGGAUGGGAUGGGGUCAAUGGGAUGGGAAUGGAUGGGAUCAAUGGGGAUGGGAUGGAUGGGAUCAAUGGGAUGGGGAUGGAUGGGCUCAAUGUGAUGGGAUGGAUGGGAUGGGAUGGGAUGGGAUGGGAUGGCUGGGAUCAAUGGGAUGGGGUGGAUGGGAUGGGAUGGGAUGGGGAUGGCUGGGAUCAAUGGGAUGGGAUGGAUGGGAUGGGAUGGGAUGGCUGGGAUCAAUGUGAUGGGGAUGGAUGGAAUGGGGAUGGAUGGGAUCCAUGGGAUGGGAUUGCUGGGAUCAAUGGGAUGGGGAUGGAUCAAUGGGAUGGGAUGGGAUGGGAUGGAUGGGAUCAAUGGGAUGGGAUCCUGGGAUCAAUGGGAUGGGGAUGGAUGGCAUCUGUGGGAUGGGGAUGGAUGGGAUCAAUGGGAUGGGAUCAAUGGGAUGGGAUGGGAUCAGUGGGAUGGGAAGGAUGGAAUGGGAUCAAUGUGAUGGGGUGGACGGGAUGGGGUGGGAUGGGAUAGGAUGGGAUGGGGUCAAUGGGAUGGGAAUGGAUGGGAUCAAUGGGGAUGGGAUGGAUGGGAUCAAUGGGAUGGGGAUGGAUGGGCUCAAUGUGAUGGGAUGGAUGGGAUGGGAUGGGAUGGGAUGGGAUGGCUGGGAUCAAUGGGAUGGGGUGGAUGGGAUGGGAUGGGAUGGGGAUGGCUGGGAUCAAUGGGAUGGGAUGGCUGGGAUCAAUGGGAUGGGGAUGGAUGGGAUCAAUGGGAUGGGAUGGGAUAGGAUGGGAUGGGAUGGGAUCAAUGGGGAUGGGAUGGCUGGGAUCAGUGGGAUGGGAUGGAUGGGAUCAGUGGGAUGGGAUGGCUGGGAUCAAUGGGAUGGGAUGGAUGGGAUGGGAUGGGAUCAGUGGGAUGGGAUGGAUGGAAUGGGAUCAGUGUGAUGGGGUGGACGGGAUGGGGUGGGAUGGGAUAGGAUGGGAUGGGGUCAAUGGGAUGGGGAUGGAUGGGAUCAAUGGGGAUGGGAUGGAUGGGAUCAAUGGGAUGGGAUGGAUGGGAUGGGAUGGCUGGGAUCAAUGUGAUGGGAUGGAUGGGCUCGAUGGGAUGGGAUGGGAUGGGAUGGGAUGGGAUGGGAUGGGAUGGGAUGGAAUGGCUGGGAUCUAUGGGAUGGAUGGGAUGGGAUGGGAUGGGAUGGGAUGGGAUGGCUGGGAUCAAUGUGAUGGGGAUGGAUGGAAUGGGGAUGGAUGGGAUCCAUGGGAUGGGAUUGCUGGGAUCAAUGGGAUGGGGAUGGAUGGGAUGGGAUGGGAUGGAUGGGAUCAAUGGGAUGGGAUCCUGGGAUCAAUGGGAUGGGGAUGGAUGGCAUCUGUGGGAUGGGGAUGGAUGGGAUCAAUGGGAUGGGAUGGAUGGGAUGAGAUGGGAUCAGUGGGAUGGGAAGGAUGGAAUGCGAUCAAUGUGAUGGGGUGGACGGGAUGGGGUGGGAUGGGAUAGGAUGGGAUGGGGUCAAUGGGAUGGGGAUGGAUGGGAUCAAUGGGGAUGGGAUGGAUGGGAUCAAUGGGAUGGGAUUUCUGGGAUCAAUGGGAUGGGAUGGAUGGGAUGGGAUGGGAUGGAUGGGAUCAAUGGGAUGGGAUCCUGGGAUCAAUGGGAUGGGGAUGGAUGGCAUCUGUGGGAUGGGGAUGGAUGGGAUCAAUGGGAUGGGAUGGAUGGGAUGGGAUGGGAUCAGUGGGAUGGGAUGGAUGGAAUGGGAUCAAUGUGAUGGGGUGGACGGGAUGGGGUGGGAUGGGAUAGGAUGGGAUGGGGUCAAUGGGAUGGGGAUGGAUGGGCUCGAUGGGAUGGGAUGGGAUGGGAUGGGAUGGGAUGGGAUGGGGUGGGAUGGGAUGGGAUGGGAUGGGAUGGCUGGGAUCUAUGGGAUGGAUGGGAUGGAAUAGGAUGGGAUGGCUGGGAUCAGUGUGAUGGGGAUGGAUGGAAUGGGGAUGGAUGGGAUCCAUGGGAUGGGAUUGCUGGGAUCAAUGGGAUGGGAUGGAUGGGAUAGGAUGGGAUGGCUGGGAUCAAUGGGAUGGGAUCAAUGGGAUGGGAUGGCUGGGCUCAAUGGGAUGGGAUGGGAUGGGAUGGGAUGGGAUGGGAUGGGAUGGGAUGGGAUGGGAUGGCUGGGAUCAAUGG
ensembl:lncRNA